GCAAACAGCUCCAGGAGAAGCCAUGUCCCUUCGUGGCUUUUAUUGAGCCAAGACCGUCAUCAAGGAGGGGAUGCUGACCAAACAGAACAAUUCAUUCCAGCGAUCAAAAAGGAGAUACUUUAAGCUGCGGGGGCGAACGCUGUACUACGCAAAAACGGCAAAGUCAAUCAUAUUUGAUGAGGUGGACCUGACAGACGCCAGCGUGGCUGAAUCCAGCACCAAGAACGUCAACAACAGUUUCACGGU